ensembl:lncRNA
CUCUGAUAGCUUUAGGGACCUGCUUUUUGAUACAGCUUCUUGGCCAGCGUCAGCUGCAGGUGUGUGUUAUGCCUCUGUAGCAGGAGCAGCAAGAAGGGGUAUAAUCUUCUCGUUCCCCAAGCUGCCACAAACACAACACAAGUGAUGUUUGCUCGGACGUUCUAACACGGGAUGGGGAAAUACACGGGGAAAUCUGGCACACGCCCAGUUUCCACUUCAUUAUAUUCUGCAAACACGGAGUUGGGGAUUUUCCUAUCUAGCUCACAAUUUAUGCUCCCAGUGGGGAGUUCAGAACACCACACUCCGGACCCGCUGGAAGAGAGCGUUCUGGGGACAGCAGCAGGCGAAGCCCACGCAGCCUGCGCACGGAGGUGAUUCUCCAGGGGACAGCUACAUGAGACAUUGUGAUCACCGGCUCUCGUCCUGCUGAGGCACUUCAACCACACUGAUAUCUGCUGGAAAAGUAGCACAGUGAGCUGGUGAUCCAGGAGACUCCUGGAAUAUAUCAAGGAUAAUUUCCUGAGCCAGGCUUUGACUGGAUGGUUCAGAAUGUGGAAACUGGAAGAGAGAUGCCACUCCUGCUAUAAGUGAAGAUCAGAUUCAUGACCUCCUGAGGAACAUGAACACCCAUAAGUCUAUGAGCCCUGAGGAGAUGCAUCCCGGAGUCCUGAAGGAAUUGGCAGACAUAGUUGCCAAGCCACUCUUGAUGAUCUUUGAAAAGUCAUGGUGGUCAGAUGAAGUCUCUGGUGACGAUGACAAAAGGCAAUAUCACACCCAUAUUUAAGAAGGGUAGAAAGGAUGACCUAGGGAACUAUGAACCUAUUAGCUUCACAUCUGUGCUGGGGAAGAUAAUGGAAGAGAUGAGGCUCCUAGGACCAGCUACAUGCACUCUGUCUGGGGCAGCUUCACAAGCUAUCGUGAAACUGCUUUUCUAUGUGUUUUCUCGUUUCCAAACCAAGAAACAAGGUAAAAGCAUUGAAUAUGAUCUUGGACAAGAAAGGUUCUCUGUAGCACUGCACUGGUGAAAAUCGAUAGCAAUGGAGCUGUGUCAUCACUGGGAUUACUUUUGCCCUGAACAGUCCUUCGCAAAUGAAAAAUAAAGCAAAGAAAUGUUCUUAUUUUUUAUCUCUGCUUCUGCAUAAAUGUAGUUUACAUACCACUAUACUGCAUUUAUUAAUAUUGAAGGCAUUUGCAGUGUUGACCAGUUCCCCUCUGCUUAUGUAAGCUGUGACAACAAAGCCUGUGGACUAGCUAAAACUUUCUCACUACCUAUCACUGUGGAUAGGAAAACCUGUCAUGCAGGCCUUUAAGCAAAUCCCUCAAAGACUUAAUCAUGCACAACAUCAGAGGUUCCUGUUGCAUGUGUGUCUCUACCAACCAGGGACUUGAAGGAAGCAACAAUCCAUGAGAUAUGUAUCAUUUGCUACAAAUUAUGCAACCGUGCCAAAUGCUUGAAUACCUCUGAAGCACAUCGCGUUAUGCCAAGGACUCCCCACCUAUCUGAGCCCUGUAGAUCUCAAGAGUAAUUGAAUUUGUUGAUGCAGUUAUAGAGUACAGAAUUCUUCCAUUUAUAUGGCUAGCAACGGACUCACAGUUCUCUUAGUAUUGGAUGUACUUAAACUGCAGCCUUCUUGUCCUCACUUGGUUAUGGCCACACUGCCUCUUUUGCUGAGUAUGGCAAGAACUAAUUAAUUUAAGAAUUAAUGCAAGAGUAUGUCUUAUAAAGAUGUCCCUCUAUAUGUAAUACACAGCAUUUCUACCACAACAGAUGUUUUGUCAAAGGUUUCAAAAUGCAUAUGUAUCUCCAUUUUACACGCAGUCUUCAGAAAGACAUCUGCACACCUAUGUGGUUUCCAGGAUUAACUUGCUUUAGCGUUCCUACCUUCUGUAGGAACAACUGAGGGAUUAUCAUAAGCAUUAUGGUUUCUGGUCACUUCUGGAUCUUUGACCCAAAUAACGUAUUUCUGAGUUGGUUAUGGGUAGCCUUCACCACAAAUUAAAAGCAGCUCUUGUAUUUAUGUAUCCUGAUGGAUGGCAAAAUGUCCAUCCAUCUCUUAUUCUGUAAUACAUAUCGUCUCCAUACAAAGAUGAUCUUCCUCGAGUGGCUAGUGUCUAACAUCAUUAGCACCUAUGGCUUCGGAUAUGAAAACUAAAAUACUUCAGUGUGCAAUACCACAGUCUCACUUCCUGUAAAUGUAAAAUAACCCUCAUAUGAAAUCUGCCAAACUGCUCUUCAUCACUGUUGUCCCUGUCUCCCAUUCUACCAUUUAGUGCAGAUUUAUACCUAUCCAAUGUGGCAACUCCUGCAUGGCCUAAUGAAUAGAACGCAGCUUUAUUUUAAUGGCAAGUACAAGAUAGAAAAAAAAUGAUGGAAUGAUUUUCCUGGCUCAUUUUCAUUAUGCUUCAGCUUUGGACUGAACUUUAAAAGGUAAAUCGCCCAACUCUUGACUACACAAGCAUUUAAAUAACUACAGAGAUUCUUAGCAUUUUUUACCUUUGGUGACUGUGGAUUCAUGUUGACUUUAAACUGACUUAAGGGUAUUAGAAAAGAAAUUUUCAGGCAAAGAUAAUACUCUGUUGUGGAAUGGAUAUUGAGCAAUUAGGGAAAGAAGAAUAUUUUAUCAUUCUUGUCACAGAGGCUAUUUCUUGGGCAAUGGCUACCUGCUCCUUUUUAUCUUUCCCACCCAUGCCAUAUUGCAGCAAAUGUGGCCGCAGGUGCCUACACUGGAUGAACACCUGCCCAAUCUGCGCAAGAAGGAAAGGAAAUCAAGGGAUGUCAUGCUCACUAGUUUUGUGUACUCAACUCAGGAGAGUGACAGAAAGGAGAAAUGAGAAGACAGUUAAAUUUAGCAUGAUUAAGAAGAGAGAGUAGAAUAAAAUGGCUGUGACCUUCAGAAGCAGCUUUUGCAGGAGAUGGAGAGCAGGUAAGUCUAAACACACUUUUUUCAAAGGCAGAACACCACUUUCUGUGUCUGUCAGCCUUUCUAUAACAAUGCAUCUACUACAGUGAGCUGACAGAAACCUUACAAAGUUCAACAGAGUCCUGCACCUAGGGAGAAACAAACACAGGCACCAGGACAUGCUGGGGCCACCUAGCUGAAAAGCAGCUCUGCAGCAGAGGACAUGGGGACAGAGUGGUGGGGACACCACUCUGGACAUGAGUAAGCAGUGUGCCCUUGCUGCUAAGAAGGCCAAUGGUAUCCUGAGCUGCAUUAGGCAAAGAAUUGCCAACAGGUCAAGAGAGGUGAUCCUUCCCCUAUACACAGCCCCAGUAAGGCUGGAGCAAUGUGUCCAGCUCUGGGUCUCCAGUAUGGGAGAGACACGGAUGUAAUGGAAAGGGUCCAAAGAGGCAUAACCAAGAUGGUCUGGGACUGGAGCACCUCUCCAGUGAGGAGAAUCUCAUCAGUGUCUGUAAAUACCCAAACAGAAGAUGCAAAGAAGAUGGAGCCAGGCUCUUCUCAGUGCUGCUCAGCGUCAGUACAAGAGACAAACUGUAACACAGAGGCUCCCUCUGAACACCAGGAAGCAGUUCUGCACUGUCGAGUGAUGGAGCACCAUCAUGGGCUGCCCAAAGGCUGUGGGUUCUCCUCCUUGGGGAUCUCCAGAAGCUGCCUGGUUGUGGGCCCAGGCAGCCUGUAAAUCUGUGUAGUGGCUUUUUACACCAGUUUGCAGGUAAAAUUUUGUCCUUUCUCAUUCCAUGUUGCAAAACAACAAAUAAAAUAUGUUUUGUGUGAAACUACAUAAGCUCAUUCUUUUACCCUCAGAGAUAGAUCCUUUAUAUAGUUCCAUAGAAUAUUUAUCCCUGCUUUCUUGCCUUAACUACCUUAUAAUUUCUGCAAUUAUUUUUGUAACAUUACUAUAUAAAAAGCUUUACAGAAUUCAAUAAAUUCCCUG